UACGGGGGGAGCAAGCGUUGUUCGGAUUUACUGGGCGUAAAGGGCGCGUAGGCGGCCACCGCAAGUCGGUUGUGAAAUCUCUGGGCUUAACCCAGAAAGGUCAACCGAUACUGCGGGGCUAGAGUGCAGAAGGGGCAACUGGAAUUCUCGGUGUAGCGGUGAAAUGCGUAGAGAUCGGGAAGAACAUCAGUGGCGAAGGCGGUCUGCUGGGCCGUUGCUGACGCUGAGGCGCGACAGCGUGGGGAGCAAACAGG
rnacentral:rRNA from 1 species